UACGUAGGGGGCAAGCGUUGUCCGGAUUUAUUGGGCGUAAAGAGCGUGUAGGCGGCCAGGUAGGUCUGCUGUGAAAACUCGAGGCUCAACCUCGAGACGUCGGCGGAAACCAUCUGGCUAGAGUCCGGAAGAGGAGAGUGGAAUUCCUGGUGUAGCGGUGAAAUGCGCAGAUAUCAGGAAGAACACCCGUGGCGAAGGCGGCUCUCUGGGACGGUACUGACGCCGAGACGCGAAAGCGUGGGGAGCGAACAGG
rnacentral:rRNA from 1 species